rnacentral:rRNA from 1 species
CCMGCUCCAAUAGCGUAUAUUAAAGUUGUUGCAGUUAAAGAGCUCGUAGUUGGAUUUCGGCGUGCGCUCAGGCUGGUCGGCCGUCAAGGUCUGUACCGUUUGGGUCACGCCCCACUGUAGGAUACUCACCGCUGUCCUUAACUGGGUGGCGGUCAAAGGGGGUGUGCAUGGGGGCAACUCUGUGCAUAUCUCUGGGGUUCCUACUCUUUUACUUUGAGCAAAUUAGAGUGUUCAAAGCAGGCAAUCGAGCCUUGAAUACUUCAGCAUGGGAUAAUGGAACAGGACUGGGGUCCUGAUUUCGUUGGUUUCUGGGAUCUCAGUAAUGAUUAAUAGGGAUAGUUGGGGGCAUUAGUAUUUAAUUGUCAGAGGUGAAAUUCUUGGAUUUAUGAAAGACUAACUUCUGCGAAAGCAUUUGCCAAGGAUGUUUUCAUUAAUCAAGAACGAAAGUUAGGGGAUCGAAGACGAUCAGAUACCGUCCUAGUCUUAACCAUAAACUAUGCCGACUAGAGAUUGGAGGUCGUUAUCUAUACGACUCCUUCAGCACCUUAUGAGAAAUCACAAGUCUUUGGGUUCCGGGGGGAGUAUGGUCGCAAGGCUGAAACUUAAAGGAAUUGACGGAAGGGCACCACCAGGAGUGGAGCCUGCGGCUUAAUUCGACUCAAC